CAUACAGAGGGAGGCGAAGGGGUGACCCGGAGCAGACCCCAGAAAAGGCGCCCAGUUCGGAUCGCAGCCUGCAACCCGGCUGCGUGAAGCUGGAAUCGCUAGUAAUCGCGGAUCAGAAUGCCGCGGCGAAUACGUUCCCGGGCCUUGUACACACCGCCCGUCAAACCAUGAGAGUUGGCAACACCCGAAGUCGGUAGUCUAACCGCAAGGAGGACGCCGCCGAAGGUGGGGUUGAUGAUUAGGGUUAAGUCGUAACAAGGUACC
rnacentral:rRNA from 1 species